GGAUCAGUUGCAUGCUGUGUUUCUGUAUGGUAUUGCACUUGUCCCGGCCUGUUGAGUUUGGUGGGGAUUUUGAC
rnacentral:miRNA from 1 species